rnacentral:rRNA from 1 species
AUUGAACGCUGGCGGCAUGCCUUACACAUGCAAGUCGAACGGUAACAGGGAGCUUGCUCCGCUGACGAGUGGCGAACGGGUGAGUAAUGUAUCGGAACGUACCAUUCAGUGGGGAUAACGUAGCGAAAGUUACGCUAAUACCGCAUAUUCUGUGAGCAGGAAAGCAGGGGAUCGCAAGACCUUGCGCUGAUUGAGCGGCCGAUAUCAGAUUAGCUAGUUGGUGAGGUAAAGGCUCACCAAGGCGACGAUCUGUAGCGGGUCUGAGAGGAUGAUCCGCCACACUGGAACUGAGACACGGUCCAGACUCCUACGGGAGGCAGCAGUGGGGAAUUUUGGACAAUGGGGGCAACCCUGAUCCAGCCAUGCCGCGUGAGUGAAGAAGGCCUUCGGGUUGUAAAGCUCUUUCGGCCGGGAAAAAAUCGCAUCAGUUAAUACCUGGUGUGGAUGAUGGUACCGGAAUAAGAAGCACCGGCUAACUACGUG